GCCAGUAAACAUUAAAAAAUAUUUUAUCGUGGGGCGCCUGGGUGGUUCAGUUGGUUGAGUGUUUGAGCGUCCAACUCUUGAUUUCAGCUCAGGUCAUGAUCUCACGGUUGGUGGGAUCGAGCCCUGCAUCUGGGCUCUGUGCAGAGAUUGGAGCCCGCUUGGGAUUCUCUCUCUCUCUCUCUCUCUCUCUCUCUCUCUCUCUCUCCCCCUUCUUCUUCUUCCUCCCCUUCUUCCCCUUCCCCCUUCUUCUUCUUCUUCUUCUUCUUCUUCUUCUUCUUCUUCUUCUUCUUCUUCUUCUUCUUCUUCUUCCUCCUCCUCUUCUUCAUUUUCUUCUUCUUCUUCUUCUUCUUCUUCCUCCUCCUCUUCUUCAUUUUCUUCUUCUUCUUCUUCUUCUUCUUCUUCUUCCUCCUCCUCUUCUUCAUCUUCUUCUUCUUCUUCUUCUUCUUCUUCUUCUUCUUCUUCUUCUUCUUCUUCUUCCUCCUCCUCUUCUUCUUCUUCUUCUUCUUCUUCUUCUUCUUCUUCUUCUUCUUCUUCUUCUUCUUCUUCUUCUUCUUCUUCUUCUUCUUCUUCUUCUUCUUCUUCUUCUUCUUCUUCCUCCCCUUCUUCCCCUUCCCCCUUCUUCUUCUUCUUCUUCCUCCUCCUCUUCUUCAUUUUCUUCUUCUUCUUCUUCUUCUUCUUCUUCUUCUUCCUCCUCCUCUUCUUCAUUUUCUUCUUCUUCUUCUUCCUCCUCCUCUUCUUCAUUUUCUUCUUCUUCUUCUUCUUCUUCUUCUUCCUCUUCUUCUUCUUCUUCUUCUUCUUCUUCUUCUUCUUCUUCUUCUUCUUCUUCUUCUUCUUCUUCUUCUUCUUCUUCCUCCUCCUCUUCUUCAUUUUCUUCUUCUUCUUCUUCUUCUUCUUCUUCUUCUUCUUCCUCCCCUUCUUCCCCUUCCCCCUUCUUCUUCUUCUUCUUCUUCUUCUUCUUCUUCUUCUUCUUCUUCUUCUUCUUCUUCUUCUUCUUCUUCUUCUUCUUCUUCUUCUUCUUCUUCUUCUUCUUCUUCUUCCUCCCCUUCUUCCCCUUCCCCCUUCUUCUUCUUCUUCUUCUUCUUCUUCUUCUUCUUCUUC
rnacentral:lncRNA from 1 species